rnacentral:rRNA from 2 species
AGGGCGAUCGCCGCGGCGGGAGACGCGCGCGCGAACGGCCCAAUCUGAUUGAUGGUGCUUGCACCUGAUUGAUUUUGGUCGCCAACGAGUGGCGGACGGGUGAGUAACACGUAGGUAACCUGCCCAGAAGCGGGGGACAACAUUUGGAAACAGAUGCUAAUACCGCAUAACAGCGUUGUUCGCAUGAACAACGCUUAAAAGAUGGCUUCUCGCUAUCACUUCUGGAUGGACCUGCGGUGCAUUAGCUUGUUGGUGGGGUAACGGCCUACCAAGGCGAUGAUGCAUAGCCGAGUUGAGAGACUGAUCGGCCACAAUGGGACUGAGACACGGCCCAUACUCCUACGGGAGGCAGCAGUAGGGAAUCUUCCACAAUGGGCGCAAGCCUGAUGGAGCAACACCGCGUGAGUGAAGAAGGGUUUCGGCUCGUAAAGCUCUGUUGUUAAAGAAGAACACGUAUGAGAGUAACUGUUCAUACGUUGACGGUAUUUAACCAGAAAGUCACGGCUAACUACGUGCCAGCAGCCGCGGUAAUACGUAGGUGGCAAGCGUUAUCCGGAUUUAUUGGGCGUAAAGAGAGUGCAGGCGGUUUUCUAAGUCUGAUGUGAAAGCCUUCGGCUUAACCGGAGAAGUGCAUCGGAAACUGGAUAACUUGAGUGCAGAAGAGGGUAGUGGAACUCCAUGUGUAGCGGUGGAAUGCGUAGAUAUAUGGAAGAACACCAGUGGCGAAGGCGGCUACCUGGUCUGCAACUGACGCUGAGACUCGAAAGCAUGGGUAGCGAACAGGAUUAGAUACCCUGGUAGUCCAUGCCGUAAACGAUGAGUGCUAGGUGUUGGAGGGUUUCCGCCCUUCAGUGCCGGAGCUAACGCAUUAAGCACUCCGCCUGGGGAGUACGACCGCAAGGUUGAAACUCAAAGGAAUUGACGGGGGCCCGCACAAGCGGUGGAGCAUGUGGUUUAAUUCGAAGCUACGCGAAGAACCUUACCAGGUCUUGACAUCUUGCGCCAACCCUAGAGAUAGGGCGUUUCCUUCGGGAACGCAAUGACAGGUGGUGCAUGGUCGUCGUCAGCUCGUGUCGUGGGAUGUUGGGUUAAGUCCCGCAACGAGCGCAACCCUUGUUACUAGUUGCCAGCAUUAAGUUGGGCACUCUAGUGAGACUGCCGGUGACAAACCGGAGGAAGGUUGGGCAGAACUCAGAUCAUCAUGCCCCUUAUGACCUGGGCUACACACGUGCUACAAUGGACGGUACAACGAGUCGCGAACUCGCGAGGGCAAGCAAAUCUCUUAAAACCGUUCUCAGUUCGGACUGCAGGCUGCAACUCGCCUGCACGAAGUCGGAAUCGCUAGUUAUCGCGGAUCAGCAUGCCGCGGUGAAUACGUUCCCGGGCCUUGUACACACCGCCCGGCUCACCAUGAGAGUGUGUAACACCCAAAGUUCGGGGGGAACCUAGUGUAGCGAACGCGUAAGCGAGAAUGAUUACAAGAAC